rnacentral:rRNA from 1 species
GAUGAACGCUAGCGGGAGGCCCAACACAUGCAAGCCGAGCGGUAUUUGUCUUUCGGGACAGAGAGAGCGGCGUACGGGUGCGGAACACGUGUGCAACCUGCCUUUAUCAAGAGGAUAGCCUUUCGAAAGGAAGAUUAAUACUCUAUAAUAUAUUGAUUGGCAUCAGUUAAUAUUGAAAGUUACGGCGGAUAAAGAUGGGCACGCGCAAGAUUAGCUAGUUGGUGAGGUAACGGCUCACCAAGGCGAUGAUCUUUAGGGGGCCUGAGAGGGUGAUCCCCCACACUGGUACUGAGACACGGACCAGACUCCUACGGGAGACAGCAGUGAGGAAUAUUGGUCAAUGGGUGCAAGCCUGAACCAGCCAUCCCGCGUGAAGGACGACUGCCCUAUGGGUUGUAAACUUCUUUUGUAUAGGGAUAAACCUCUCCUCGUGAGGAGAGCUGAAGGUACUAUACGAAUAAGCACCGGCUAACUCCGUGCCAGCCGCCGCGGUAA